AGAGUUUGAUCCUGGCUCAGGAUGAACGCUGGCGGCGUGCUUAAUACAUGCAAGUCGAACGAAGAUAAUAGCAAUAUUGUCUUAGUGGCGAACGGGUGAGUAACGCGUUGGUGACCUGCCCCGAAGAGAGGGAUAACAGUUCGAAAGGACUGCUAAUACCUCAUGUGGUCAAAGAGGUUAGAGUCUCUUUGUCUAAAGGGAGUAAUUCGCUUCGGGAGGGGCCUGCGUCCCAUCAGCUAGUUGGUAAGGUAAUGGCCUACCAAGGCGAUGACGGGUAGGGGACCUGAGAGGGUGGCCCCCCACAAUGGAACUGAAACACGGUCCAUACACCUACGGGUGGCAGCAGUAGGGAAUAUUGGUUAAUGUGGGAAACCGCGAACCAGCAACGCCGCGUGUGCGAUGAAGGCCUUCGGGUUGUAAAGCACUUUUAGAGAGGAUGAGGAAGGACAGUACUCUCUGAAUAAGCCUCGGCUAACUACGUGCCAGCAGCCGCGGUA
rnacentral:rRNA from 1 species